GAACCAGUGCUGUUGCUGACGUUCUGUGUAUAUGCUCUAUCCUAGGACAAAAAAUGCCACUGCCUGAACUUGUCGGAGAGCUGUGUGUUCCCGGGUUACCUGAUCUCUGGUCUGAGGGCUGUGAAUCACACGCUGCCGGAGAGAUCGAAGCACAUCGGGAUUCUCAUCAACAAACUCGAAUUCAGCGGCAGGGAGUUAAGCAGGGAUCACGUGUCGGAGAAACUGAGCUGCAAUUCCAGUGCCCCUCGGGCCUUCUUCAGCUCCAUGGACAAUGUUAUACAGUACAUCAACGCCAAGCAAGCACAAGCAGCAUCCAGGAUAGGCAGUCAUA